GUAUACACAGUAUAUGUAAAAAAAAAAAAAUCAAUCAUAUUGUAAAACCAAUAAAUUCCUAGCUUCGUUUUAAAUUCUAAAAUUUAUAGUUCGGUGUUUCCUAAUUUCGUGUGAAUAAUGUGUUAUUUAAUACUUUUUGACUAAAUUAUACUAAUUAUCGGUAUUAUACGAGGGGUGGCUAUUAAAUAACGAGACUGCUCGCCUAGAGGGUGCCCUAGAUGGGUAGUGAAAAAAACGAGUAAUGCGUUGGGUAUCUAGAUAUCUUAUCUAUUCACGUACCAAAACACGUUUUUGUCACUAUUAUAGUAUUUGUGCAGUAGUGGUUUGAAACGAACGUGUUUUUUUCUCGUGCCGAAAACCAUGUGUGACGAAAAACAUGAGCAACGGAUAAACGUAAAAUUUUCUCGUUAAAUUAAAAAAAACUCCAAUUGAGUUCUUUAAGUUGUUAAAAGAGACCUAUAGUGAGGAUUUCCUAUCUCGGGCGCGUGUUUUUGAGUGGCAUAAAUUAUUUUCUGAAGGUCGAGAGUGCACCGGAAUCCAAUUCAGUGGUAAUCCAAAUUCAAAACCGUUUUCUUCGAUAUCAAUGGCAUCGUGAUGACUGAAUGGGUUCCAGAG